AAUUGCUUCGACAGUACAUAUACUAGAAUUGGAACGAAACAGAGACGAUUAGCAAGGACCUUGAGCAAGAAUGUCACGCAAAACCGUGACGCAUUCUACAUUUUA